AGCUGGACACUAGAACACGCUUCCUGUCUUUCAUUACCCCGUGACCUUUCCUAUCAGCAGCCCGUGGCUGUGAAUUCUUUAUCCCUGGGAACUUGGCUGCCACAUGUGAUUCUGAUGGAAGAUGGAAUGAAGCCGUUGGCUGAGCCAGCAGGUGCAAGCUUCAAGGGAGUACGGUCCAUAGAAAACACAAAAAGAGGAAAGCAGCUUCAAACUGGAAAGCAAUCCUUGGUUUCCUUGAAAGACUCCAUAGGCCUUAAUUCCUUAAAAAUGUGUGUGCUGCAAAACAUUGAUUCCAUGAAUAUAAAUUCAGGAAAACUAAACAGAGGACUUAUGUAAACUGUGGAUAAAAUAUGAACAUGAAACUAGAGGUAAAAGUGGUGGCAUGAGAUUCUUGGCUCCAACAGUUUUACAUAGUCUCACUGAACAUGGAUGGACCAAGAAAUUGUGUAUAGGAUUUCGCUGAAGACUACAGUGCACCAUCAGAUGAUCAUAUCCAUUCAAAAGCUGUAAGAUUGAAUAAGUAAUUUGAAAGAUGGCAGCUAAUGGAUUCUUAAUCACUCUGGUUGUUUUGGGCUCUGGAAAGCAUUCUUCUUAUUCGGUUACAACAUGUGUGUGUGUGUGUGUGUGUGUGUGUGUGUGUGUGUGUAAUGGCCAAUGAGAUUAUUGAUUUUUCUCUUAGAAAGGUGAAAAAGUCAACUUAUUUGGGGAAACAAGUCAGACUCUUGUCUAUCAAGCCAUCUACUCCACAGUUUGAUCUUGAAAAAUCUUAGUGAUUUGGCUGUGCAGUGAUACAUUUUGAUACUGGAGAUAAUAAUGUGUUGUGGAGAAUCUGGUCUUGGGGAUAUCACAUGAAAUAAAAAAAAAAUAAAACUCUACUGCCCAAGCAGAAACAGAGGAGAAGUUACUUAAUGGAUACGAUGUGUGUUAUUCUGUUGAUGGAUACACUAAAAGCCCUGACUUCACCACUAUGCAAUAUAUCCAUGUAACAAAAUUAUCCUUGUAACCCAUAAC
rnacentral:lncRNA from 10 species